rnacentral:rRNA from 1 species
CAUAUCAAAAGCCGGG